rnacentral:rRNA from 1 species
AGAGUUUGAUCCUGGCUCAGGAUGAACGCUGGCGGCGUGCCUAACACAUGCAAGUCGAACGGAUCGGCUUGGGUCUGCGGGCCUGGAAGGGGCGGCGGGCAAGAAAUUGUCCAAGGCUCUGGAAGGGUGCAAGGGAUCCGGUGCCGGUCAGUGGCGGACGGGUGAGUAACACGUAGGUGAUCUGCUCCCAAGUGGGGAAUAACCAUCCGAAAGGGUGGCUAAUACCGCGUAAUGUUCUCCGGUUGCGGCCGGGGGAAGAAAGGGUCGGAAGAUCCGCUUUGGGAGGGGCCUGCGGCCGAUUAGCUAGUUGGUGGGGUAAUGGCCCACCAAGGCGAUGAUCGGUAGCUUGGUCUGAGAGGACGAUCAGCCACACUGGAACUGAGAACGGUCCAGACUCCUACGGGAGGCAGCAGUGAGGAAUAUUGCACAAUGGGGGAAACCCAGAUGCAGCAACGCCGCGUGAAGAAAGAAGGCCUUCGGGUCGUAAAGCUCUUUUCUGGGGGGAUGAGGAAGGACAGUACCUCAGGGACAAGUCUCGGCUAACUACGUGCCAGCAGCCGCGGUAAGACGUAGGAGGCAAGCGUUAUCCGGAUUCAUUGGGCGUAAAGGGCAAGUAGGCGGUGCCCAAAGUUGGGCGUGACAUCUCCCGGCUCAACUGGGAGGGUGCGUUCAAAACUAGGGGACUAGAGGGCAGGAGAGGGAAGUGGAAUUCCCAGUGUAGCGGUGGAAUGCUCAGAUAUUGGGAAGAACACCAGUGGCGAAGGCGGCUUCCUGGCCUGCACCUGACGCUGAGAGGCGAAAGCUAGGGUAGCAAACGGGCUUAGAUACCCCGGUAGUCCUAGCUGUAAACGUUGGAUACUAGGUAUUGGAGGAGGAGAGUCCUUCAGUGCCGAAGCAAACGCGCUAAGUAUCCCGCCUGGGGACUACGGCCGCAAGGUUAAAACUCAAAGGAAUUGACGGGGGCCCGCACAAGCAGCGGAGCGUGGUGGUUUAAUUCGAUGCAACACGAAGAACCUUACCUGGGCUUGACAUGUAGGUAGUAGGGAAGGGAAACCGGACCGACCUUCGGGGAGCCUGCACAGGUGCUGCAUGGCUGUCGUCAGCUCGUGCCGUGAGGUGUUGGGUUAAUUCCCACAACGAGCGCAACCCUCGUCGCCAGUUGUACGUUUCUGGCGAGACUGCCGGUGUAUAACCGGAGGAAGGUGGGGAUGAUGUCAAGUCAGCAUGGCCUUUAUGUCCAGGGCUACACACACGCUACAAUGGUCGGUACAGAGGGCAGCCAAGCCGUGAGGCGGAGCAAUUCCCACAAAGCCGGCCACAGUUCAGAUUGCAGGCUGCAACCCGCCUGCAUGAAGUCGGAGUUGCUAGUAACCGCAGGUCAGCGAUACUGCGGUGAAUACGUUCCCGGGCCUUGUACACACCGCCCGUUACGUCAUGGGAGCUGGCAAUACCUAAAGCCGGUGGGCCAACCGCAAGGGGGCAGCCGUCUAGGGUAGGGCUGGUGACUGGGACGAAGUCGUAACAAGGUAGCUGUACCGGAAGGUGCGGCUGGAUCACCUCCUU